UCACUCAUGUUUAUAUCAACAAGAAAUAACAGUUCUGACUUAACAACUCUUAUCUGUUCAUUUUUUUACUUGAACUAGUACAUCUCUGUACCAAACAAAGAACAUCCUAAAUGGCUCAUGCUAGCAGCUAAUGCUAGCAGCUACUACCGCUUCGUAUUCUGUUAAUAGUCUGUCAUUCGGAUGAGGACUCUCAAGUGACUUUUAAGAUCUGUUGUGUUAAAACAACUAAAACUGUUGUGGGAUCAUUGCAGCGCAUAUUUCAUAAACAUUGUUGUGUUAUCCUCCUCUGAGGCACUAGUCAAGUGUUUACUCUGCAUUGUGGUCUCAGUGCAGCAGACACACUUCUUCUCCGGGGCUUAAUGAUGGGCCACCUACCACAACGCCACCUACUGUUUUUGUAGCUGUAGUCUCGUGAGAGACAAAAACCUCCAUUAUUGGUGGAUUUCAUACACUAACAUUUUAAUAUCGGAUUGACAGAAUUUUAUAAUUUAACGGUACUGAUAAUUAUCGUGCUUCCCUAAUUGAAACCUCUUUUAAUACAAAAACAACAAAUACAAAAGUCCUAGGUUGGAGGCACUCAAUACUGGGUAAAAUUUUGUUUUAAUAGCAGAAAACUGCAGGUAAAUGCCUGCACAGAAUUGUGCACAAAAUUGCACAAUCACAUUGGCAAUGACUCAUCAGCAAACUAUUGCAAAUAUAUUUGUACAAUUAAGACUGGUUUAACCCUUUCACCCUGGGCAGCUUUUGGUUGAUUGUGAAUGAAAUUUUAAUUCUUUUAAAGCUUCAGUGUUUUAAAUACUAUCAACUAUUAAAAUAACAGAGACUCAACCUGUUUAAAACAUGUGAAAUCAAAAUAAACUGAAGUAAGAAGGAACAUUUUUGACAACCUUGCUAAAAUGUGAACCCCAACUUGAACCCUGCCUUCAUAAAAUUGCCUUCUACUUAAAGAAAUCCUGUAUAUAAUGCCUACAGCAGUAAACAGAGAUGCCAGAAAGCUGUUGGGCCUACAAAGGGAAAAGCAACAUGUGAAGGAUGUCAGAGUUCUAAACUGACUCAGGCAAAUUCCUGAACAGUGUUGAAAUUGCACAGUCGCAAUGGAAAUGAUUCAUUAUCAAAAUAUUGCCAACAUCUAUGAAAUUCAGACAGACUAUUUUACUCUGGGCAGCGUUUGGUUGAAUGUGACUAGAAUUGUACUUUUUAAAAAGCUUCAGUGUUUUAAAUACUAUCAACCAUUAAAAUAACUCUGGUUUAAGAUAUGUGCAAUCGAAAUAAGCUGAAGCAAAGCAGCAACAUUUCUGACAACCUUACUAAAAAAAGUAAAUCCAAGCUUGAACCCUGCCUUCAUGAAAUUCACUUUAAAAAAUCCUUUAUAUAAUGCCAGGAGAUGCCAGAAAGUUGUUGUGGCUACAAAAGGAUUUUUGAAAAGCAAAAUGUGAAGGAUGUCAGUGUUUUAAACUGAUAUACACCCAAAUAUAGGGGCUAUGUUCCUCAUUGCUUUUAGAUACAUUAUACUAGCUCAAUCAGUCUUCCUUUGUGCAGUGAAAGGCCUUGGUUUUGAAAAACAUCAUUACCCGCUCACCCAUCUCCUCAUUUCCCCAUAAUUUCCCAGAGAUCCUGAUCCAAUGAUGCCCCCUCCCUGGCAAACCCGCCCUGAAACCGCCCACCCCCAAGUUGGAAUUAAGAAUUUAUUUUAACCAGCGAGCAGCUUCUGUCGACACAUGUUGGCAGGCCUGAUCAAAGAGCACCCGCCAUAUAUAGGUCACACUACAUUCUAAUGCCACAUGUGCCUCCAAGUGUAUCCUCCUCUGUGUGGCUGGGAUUUGGGGCUCUCCACUUAGACCGUCACAUCCACUGAUCCCCCAUCAUUAAAGAGUGUGUGAUCCACCGACGAGCCUAGAUUGCUGGAAUGCAUGACCCUGAGAAUAAGGCUGAGUCCUGGGAGAGUCCACUAGAAGCAUCACCAUCUUCAGUCUCGCUCUGCGUUGUGUGUCUCCCUGGUUGGAUGCCACCCACACCGGGCAUGAGUGAG